AGAAAAAGAAAAGUUACAUAUAUUUAUAUUUCUAACUAUAGAUUUUCGGCUCCUAGUAUAGUUCUUUCGAUUUUUUUUUCUUUUUUUUUUUCUUC
rnacentral:ribozyme from 13 species